rnacentral:rRNA from 1 species
UACAGAGGGUGCGAGCGUUAAUCGGAAUUACUGGGCGUAAAGCGCGCGUAGGCGGCUUUGCAAGUCGGGUGUGAAAUCCCCAAGCUUAACUUGGGAACUGCAUUCGAGACUGCAUUGCUAGAGUAUGGGAGAGGGAAGUGGAAUUUCCGGUGUAGCGGUGAAAUGCGUAGAUAUCGGAAGGAACAUCAGUGGCGAAAGCGACUUCCCGGACCAAUACUGACGCUCAUGUGCGAAAGCGUGGGGAGCAAACAGG